CUAGAAGUUAAAAUUAUAUUUUCUUUUCCCAAUUCACUCUUUGCUGUCACUUUCCCUUCUUUCGUUCUGCGCAGGAACUCACGAACGAAAGUUUAUGCCUUCAAGAGUUCCAUUUUUUUAACUUGUCUUCUCACAAUCGGUGCUUUGUAAGAGUGAAGAAUCUCAAUUUUAUUAAGCCAUGCCUUAAACGAGUACAAUUCUCUCAAUUAAAUUGAGCAAAGUGGUUUUACAUCUUUACUAGAAAUUCAAAUGAGAUGAGAAAAUUAGUAAUUAGCAUGAAAUGAGAUGAGAUGAGAAUGGCAGCCAUGCCAUGCAAAUUUUGAAUAGAGAUUUGGGUUUUACAUCUUUACUGCAAAUAUUGGGUUUUAGAAACUUGAUCAUGCAGCCAUGCCAUGUAAAUUAGUAACUGCUGGACUUUUUUGCU